rnacentral:rRNA from 1 species
GACGAACGCUGGCGGCGUGCUUAACACAUGCAAGUCGAACGGAAAGGCCCUGCUUUUGUGGGGUGCUCGAGUGGCGAACGGGUGAGUAACACGUGAGUAACCUGCCCUUGACUUUGGGAUAACUUCAGGAAACUGGGGCUAAUACCGGAUAGGAGCUCCUGCUGCAUGGUGGGGGUUGGAAAGUUUCGGCGGUUGGGGAUGGACUCCCGGCUUUCUAGCUUGUUGGUGGGGUAGUGGCUUACCAAGGCUUUGACGGGUUGCCGGGCUGAGAGGGUGACCGGCCAACAUGGGGCUGGAAUUCCGCCCAAGCUCCUACGGGGGGGAGGAGUGGGGGAUAAUGGACAAUGGGCGGGAGCCUGAAGGAGGAACGCCGGGUGCGGGAUGAAGGCCCUUGGGUUGGAAACCGCUUUCGCCUGUGACGAAGCGUGAGUGACGGUAAUGGGUAAAGAAGCACCGGCUAACUACGUG